AACGAACGCUGGCGGCAGGCCUAACACAUGCAAGUCGAGCGAGACCAUCGGGUCUAGCGGCGGACGGGUGAGUAACGCGGGGGAAUAUGCCCCUUGGUACGGAAUAGCCUCGGGAAACUGAGAGUAAUACCGUAUGUGCUCUGCGGGGGAAAGAUUUAUCGCGAAAGGAUUAGCCCGCGGUGGAUUAGGUAGUUGGUGGGGUAAUGGCCUACCAAGCCUACGAUCCAUAGCUGGUUUGAGAGGAUGAUCAGCCACACUGGGACUGAGACACGGCCCAGACUCCUACGGGAGGCAGCAGUGGGGAAUCUUAGACAAUGGGGGCAACCCUGAUCUAGCCAUGCCGCGUGAGUGAUGAAGGCCUUAGGGAUGUAAAGCUCUUUCAGCUGGGAAGAUAAUGACGGUACCAGCAGAAGAAGCCCCGGCUAACUCCGUGCCAGCCGCCGCUGUAAAAC
rnacentral:rRNA from 1 species